ensembl:lncRNA
AACGUCAACACACAACAGCAGAAGCAAAGCGCAGAAGAAAAGGAAGAAGAUGAUGUUGACAAACGUACCAAGGUGGAAGAAGACCAAAGCCACCGAGCUGUUGGUCCGCUCGGGGACGGAACCGAUGACCCGAUGGACGAUGGGGAGCGAACACGCAGCUCUGAAGCCCAGACGAGCGGACCGAACGCAGGCCAGACUUUGCGUGACGAAAGCCUCCAGGUGGCGGACGGCGUCGGCGACGAGGUCCUAACCGGCCCUCCGAGGUGUGAGGAGAUGGAGGUUGACGCUUCUCUCCAGGUGUUGGACAGCGUUACAGAAGGCGAAGCCGCUACAGGACAAGAGGACAGCUCCACGGGAACGUCUGGGGAUCAUUUACAGCUGUUAGAUGCAGGUAGUGAAGACACGCCGAGGGACAUGGGGGACGAGAAGAGGACAGCAGAGGACGAAGUCAAAGCUAAGGAUAAUGGUGACAGACUGGUUCCAAAUGAAGACCGUUCUCUUCCUGACGCCGGAAACAAGGAAAACUCCAAGGACCCAGAAAGGGACGUAACUGGACAAGAAGCCUUUGAGAUAUUGGAUCCGAUCGACGAUCUCACUUCAGCAGAAGAUCACGGCCAGAACCAUGAAAUGAACAGUGGCCAAAUCUCCCAAGAAGACAUCCUGGCCACGGAGGACGAGGAAGACGCAUAUCGGGUAAUUGACUCGGUGGAGGACCAGCCAAUGACUACGGACUCUGAGACCGGCCACCAAGGAAGAAGAAACUCGAGAGGGACGGCGACCGCCAGAAAAGACAACAAGCCGUCCAAGAGGAGGGAACCCACAACCACCGCGUCCACAAGGGACGAGAAGGAGCCGUCCCCAAAGAAACCAGACAGAGCGGGUCAAAGAUAUGAGACGCGGUCAAAGCCGGACCUCAUUGCAAAGGUUUCCGAAAAAGACAAAGAGGUCCCCGAAGACGUUGAGUUUAAGAUAGUAGAUUCUGUAGAAGAAGAACCGGUUCGACUCGCUGCCACCCCGGAGAUGUCUGUCAGAAGAAGAAGUGCGAGAGGAAAGAAAGAGGACAAAACCACAGUGGAUCUCACAGACGCGUCCAACAAAGCAGAGGAGGCUACUUACAAGAUCUUAGACGUGGACGAUGAGGAACCGACAGCAAGAGCCACCAGAGGAAGAAGAGGACGGACGACGAAGAAAGAGGCCUCAAAUGAGAAGACCGAAGACACCCCGACGGGACGCAAGCAAACUCCCGCCAGAGAGUCACAGGAACCAAACGGGGGAGAGAAAGGCGCUUGGAGAGCGAGCACCCCGUCACGGAGGAGCGGCAGUGUGGUGAGCGAGUUCAGUCAGGAGGAGCGACCCGCUACAAGAAGCAAAGGGACGAGGGGAAGACCAAAGAAAGGAGCCAAAACAACUAAAACAUCAGCAUCUAAAGAUGCGCCUGGCGAGGAAGAGGCGGCGUAUCGGGUCCUGGACUCCGUGGAGGGCGAGGCGGAGAGCGCUCUGAUGGACAGGGACCAGCAGAGGCUGAGGAGUGAACCGCUCACAGGAUCGCCCAAAGACGGAGAGGAGGACGAGCCGAUGUAUCGCAUCAUCGAUUCUCUGGAUGACGAUCAACUAUUGACCGGAGGGGACGAGACACGGGAAGGGGCAUCGGCUGAAGAAGAGGACGCCUCACCGCGCGCCGGCGAGGACGACGGGGCUGUGGAAGAGGAGCCGCUGUAUCGGAUCGUCGACGACGUGGACGAGUCGUCUCCUGCAGGACCUCAGAGGGAUCCCGCCGGUCCUGGAAUGGACGGCGAGAAAGACGACACGGCGCGCAGUCUGGUGAACCUGGACGAGGUGAGCGAGGAGGAGGAGGAGUACCCCGACGACACGGCCGAGGAGGAGGAGCUGAGGAGGCGACAAGCCGCCGCAAAGGAGAAGCAGAUCGCCGAGGAGCGAGCAGCGAGGAGGACCAGGGAUGCAGAGCGAAGGAGCCGGAGCGGCAGCAGCAGUAGAGGAGGCGGGGCAGGGAGGAGGAGGGAAGAGGAGGAGACGGGGGCGGUGGACCCCCAGGAGCUGGUGACUCUGGAUGAGGUGGGAGCAGAUGACGGCGGAGAGGAGAGAGCAGCGAGCGGCACGGAGUGGGACGGCGAGAUCACGGGGGCGGAGCUGCAGACGCUCGUCACUCUGGAUGAGUUCAUAGAAGGAGAAAAGGAGGACGGGAAGGUGGAGCAAAGCCCUCGGAAGCCCCGCCCACCCAGCCAGGAGGAGGAGUCCGUGGACCUCUUGGACCCAGAGGCUUUGGUGACUUUGGAUGAAGCUGGCGACGAUGAGGAGGAGCGGCCGGACGAAGAGCCAGCUGAGAGCAGAUCUGCCAAACGCAAAAGCAAUGACGACUCAGCUUUAGAAGACAGUGUCCACUUUGUGACGGUAGACGAGGUGGGAGAGGUGGAAGAGGAGGAGGAAAAGGAAGCGGUGCAAACCAGGAAACGAGGACGACCCAAGAAGAGAAGCCGACAAACUCCUGUGAGGAAAUCGGCCAGAGUGAGAAAGGGGACCACAAAAGAGGAGAGCGCUGAAGAAAGGGAGCCAGCCGCCAGCGAUCUGCUGCCUCCAUCUGCAACCGACGCCCCCCCCGUCGCGGGGCAGAGGUCGUUCUGCGUUGUCGGGUGUCGGCCAGCCGGAGAUUCAGAGGACGGAGACUGA